AGUGAACGCUGGCGGUAGGCCUAACACAUGCAAGUCGAACGGCAGCACCGUAAGAGCUUGCUCUUACGGGUGGCGAGUGGCGGACGGGUGAGGAAUACAUCGUAAUCUACUUUUUCGUGGGGGAUAACGUAGGGAAACUUACGCUAAUACCGCAUACGACCUACGGGUGAAAGCAGGGGAUCUUCGGACCUUGCGCGAUUGAAUGAGCCGAUGUCGGAGUAGCUAGUUGGCGGGGUAAUGGCCAACCAAGGCGACGAUCCGUAGCUGGUCUGAGAGGAGGAUCAGCCACACUGGAACUGGGACACGGUCCAGACUCCUACGGGAAGCAGCAGUGGGGAAUACUGGACAAUGGGCGCAAGCCUGAUCCAGCCAUACGGCGUGGGUUGAGAAGGCCUUCGGGUUGUAAAGCCGUUUUGUUGGGAGAGAAAAGCAGCAGGUUAAUACCCCGCUGUUCUGACGGUACCCGAAGAAUAAGCACCGGCUAACUUCGUG
rnacentral:rRNA from 1 species